rnacentral:rRNA from 1 species
UUGCGGUUAAAAAGCUCGUAGUUGGAUUUCUGCCGAGGACGACCGGUCCGCCCAUAGGGUGAGUAUCUGGUUCGGCCUGGGCAUCUUCUUGGAGAACGUAGCUGCACUUGACUGUGUGGUGCGGUACCCAGGACUUUUACUUUGAGGAAAUUAGAGUGUUUCAAGCAGGCUUACGCCUUGAAUACAUUAGCAUGGAAUAAUAAUAUAGGACCUCGGUUCUAUUUUGUUGGUUUCUAGAGCUGAGGUAAUGAUUAAUAGGGAUAGUUGGGGGCAUUCGUAUUUAACUGUCAGAGGUGAAAUUCUUGGAUUUGUUAAAGACGGACUACUGCGAA